AAGUCUCAAAAAAUGAAAAAUGGAGAAAAAUUCCGAUUAAAAUGUUUAAACAAAACAGUCUGGUUCUCUGUAGACAAGGAAUUUAUCCAUAAAAGCCAAUAAAUAUUUAGUACCCCUCCUCCCUGUCUCCCUUGCUUCCUUCACCUCCCAGUCCUGGAUACAUCAGGGCAGCUCUCCACUUGCCCCUCCUCCUGAGUCAGAGGAAAAAACCAAUUCUUCACUCCAGUUCGAUGACAUAACUUCCGGGAGUGCCUGUUCAGAAGUAAAAGCUGUCAGGGAUUUUUCCACUUACACUGUACCUAGCCUGGCUAGAAUGCAGGAAGCUUAGAGAUGGAGGGGGCUGUGGGAAACUGGGCCUGACACAGACCAGGUCUUAAGUAAACGUUUGUUGAAUGAAUGAAUGACUCAAUAGAAAAAUGAUGCCCUAUAUUUUUAUUACACUUUUUUUUUAACAUGUAGGUAACUGCCUUCUCUUUCAGUUUUGAAAAGGAAAUAAAGAAUUGUUUUCAUUUCUCAUCAUUUCCUCCUUUUCACUUCAACACUGCUGAAACUAUUCUGAGAGAAGGAGUUCAGAUUUCUCGACUCUGCUCCAGUAAUAAGUUGCUCCCCUUCUCCCUGUGCACCGUUUUCUCUUCAGUGAAACCUAGAAGUUCCCCCUGACAGUGCGGUUCCUGAUUUGGGGUAUGCGAGGGAGACACUGCUCAUUUGAAGUUCUGGUGAGCAGAGGACCAGAGGGGCUGGACAUUCCUGAAGAGAAGGUGCCUGUAUUGACAGGAUCUGCAUGGAGGGUUCUGAAGCCUGUGUAGCUCUUUCCCUCUGGGACUAUCGGGCUGUGAAGGAAAGAAGGGAAUGAAGGUGGAGGGGGUUACCGUAUGUGCUGGGGCUGGCCCGGAGAUCUACUUGGCGUGGCUUCCUGUGGUCGGCGACUGGGCAUACUCAGGAGGGAGUAGGGUUAGAUAAAUAAAAUCAGCCUUGGGAAUAUCAAAAUAGAAUCGAUGUAAUAAAUCCCUCUGAUUCUAGGACACAUUUCCUGGCCUCAGAAAGGAGAUGUCGUUUUGUUCCAGCCAUGUGGCUUCAAUCAUAAUGUCUAUCCUUCUGGCUUAGAAGCAGCUCUUGGCAAGUGAAUGUUUUCCUGCCCAGAACUCACGAUGUUGAUGUGACGUACACCUCACUUCUCCUUCUGUCUCUGAACUGGUCCCUUUCAGAGGACACAGCCAGCCACCCAGCUGCUCAAGCCUUUAGCAGAUGUGCUACAAGAAGUGCUGAGAGAGAUAAGCAGAGGCCACCCAACUGAACGGAAAAAUGCAUUUCAAAUAGUCAGACGGACUGCAGAAGAAACCCCUGUCAUUGUACAUGUGACUGGCCUAGAGAGUCGCGUCCCUCUGGAGCAGACUGAUGAACUUGUUGACUGCAGAAGCCCUUCACUUCAAAUUAAGCUUGCGUACGAGCAAUUGAUGGUCUGAUCUGCAGUUGACCCCUGGCCUUCUUCUGACUGAUGAUAUUGAGCUUCUUCAUCAUCUCCACAGAUCCCUGUGUAUUCCAUCUGGCGAGGUCCACAUGUAUUGAGUAACCAUUUAUUUUGUUGAAAAAAGGUAUUUCCAAUGAAUAAAUUGUUGGUCUUGCAAAAUUCUAUCAUGCAAUCUUCUGCAUCGUUUCUAUCACCAAGGCCAUAUUUUCUAACUACAGAUCUUUCUUUGUUUCCAGCUUUUGCAUUCCCAACACCACCAAUCACCAGUAAUUAUCAAUACAUCUUGACUGCAUAUUUGGUCAGUUUCAGACUGCAGAAAUUGAUAAAAAUCUUCAAUUUUCUCAUCUUUGGCAUUAGUGGUUGGUGUGUAACUUUGAAUAACAGUUGUAUUAACUGGUUUUCCUUGCAGACAUAUGAAUAUUAUCCUACCACUGACAGCGUUGUACUUCAGGAUAGAUCUUGAAAUGUUCUUUUUGACGAUGAAUGCAAGCUCAUUCCUCUUCAAUUUGUCAUUCCCAGCAUAGUAGUCCAUAUGAUUGUCUGAUUCAUAAUAGCCAAUACAAGUACAUUUCAGCUCACUAAUGCUUAGGAUAUUGAUCUUUAUGUGUUUCAUUUUUGAUGACUUCCAAAUUUCCUAGAUUCAUGCUUUGUGAAUUCCGUGUUCCAAUUAUUAGUGGAUGUUUGCAGCUGUUUCUUCUCAUUUUGAGUCAUGCAACAUCAGCAAAUGAAGGUCCAAAGCUUACUCCAUCCACGUCAACUCUACCUUGAGGGGCAGCUCCUCCCCUGUCAUAUUUUGAGUGCCCUCCAACCUGAGAAGCUUAUCUUCAGGUGCUAUGUCAGACAGUGUUCCACUGCUAUUUGUAAGGUUUUCACUGGCCAAUUUUUUCAGAAGCAGACCGCCACGUUCUUCUUCCUAGUCUGUCUUAGUCUGAAAGCUGCACUGAAACCUGUCCACCAUUGGUGACCCUGCUGGUAUUUGAAAUACCAGUGGCAUAGCUUCCAGCAUCACAGCAAUACACAAGCAACCACAGAAUGACAAACUAACAGGGAUAAUAUUAUAUUAUAAAUUCUUUCUAUUCUGUAAUAUAUUAUUAUAAAUUUAUUUUCUAAAACAAACAUGUAUUAUGUUUGUAAUUGCAACAACCAAAAUGAACAUAAAAAAAUAGGAAAAUAAAAUUCUUCACCAAAAAAACCUUUUAGCUUUCAAAUAUGACUUUAGCAUUUCUCUUAUACCAUCACAUUCUUUAAAAGUAAUUAAAAAUUAAAAUGCCAUAAAAUGUAGGGUAAAGGAACUUGUCUAUACCCUGCAGACUCUAGCCUGAGCAAUAGAUAUGUCUUAGAGUCUUAGACAGAAGGACAGGUAGUUCUCUGCUUUGCUAUAAUUGUUGCUGUUGUUAGGUGCAGUUGAGUCAGUUCCAACUCAUAGCAACCCUAUGGACAAGAGAAUGAAACACUGCCCGGUCGUGCGCCAUCCUCACAAUCAUUGUUAGGCUUGAGCUCAUUAUUGCAGCCACUGUGUCAGUCCAUCUCAUUGAGGAUCCUCCUCUUUUUCGCUUUGCUAUAAUAAAUCUGUUUAAAUUCUUUACACUCUGGCUAAUAUGCAAAAUAGUACUUUACAUUUGUAAAGUACCUCAUGGUUUACAAAACAUCGUCAUUUUCAUUACCUCAUUGAAUCUAUUAAUCUUUUGAGAUAGAGUAGGUAUUACUACUCCUUUUAUAUAGGAAAGAAAAGUGAAGUUCAGAAAAUUAAGUGACUUGCCUAAGAUCACUUGGGAAUUUAGGAGCAAAGUCAAGACUGAAACCCAUUUCAAGGUUUUCCCCAUUGCAGCACGUACCUACAUGAAGACAGUGAAGACAAUCCUUUAAUUCCUGAACCUUCCAGAGACACAAAAAUGUACAAAUAACUCCUUUAGCUGACCAGGCCAAAUAACUUAAGACAUUUAUGCAGUAUCCAUUUAGUGCAGCAGCCAUUUCCUCAGAGCGUAUUUUCAAUGUUCUCAUUUUUUUUUUUGAACAAGUAAUUCUUUUAGAGAUGACGUAAAGCUUUUUGAUUGAUGAUUCAACUAAUUUAUCUUAUUUUUCAGACUGAUACAUUAGAAUGUCCUAGAUGUCACAGAGGAAUUUCCUAGUAAUUGAUCUAUUUUAACUUAUAAUUACUUUCCUAAAAUGUCCUCUGAAGGAAAUAGAACAAAGGAAAGAAACCUCAAGCAUUCUACACUGGAGUUUUACUUCUCAUUUUUCAGAACUCAAGAAACUAAUAAUAAUAAACCACACUGUUGUACAUAACAAUAAAGUAGUUUUAAAGAAAACACAAAUUAUUGCUUUGUGGGACCCAGUUCUAGUACAACCUAGACUUUUAGUGCAACUUGAACACAGGGGCUAGGGCCAUGUGAGUCUGGGCUCUGGAGCUGGGCUGCCUGGGUUCAGCCCUGUGCCCCUACGGAGCUGUGUGACUUCGGGCAAGUCACCUCCCAGACCAUAAGCUUCCUUAUCACUAAAGUGAGGUUGUACCUAUGUCAUAGAGCUGUUGUGAAUAUUAAAUAACUUCAUACCUCUAAAGGGUGUACAACAGUGCCUGGAAUACUGGAAGAGCCACUGAAUGCUGGAUGUAAUAAACAUUAUCUGCUUCCUUCUGGCGAUGCCAGAAUGACCUACUUUUCAGAGGGGCUUUGAAGAACAUUUUGCAGUUUAGAAUAAGUGUUCACUGUAUCCUAAGACUGGACUGACGUGGCUGGGCCCCCAUCACAUUAUAUAUGCCAGGCUUCUGUUACCUUUCAGCUCAGAAAAUUGUAAGAAAGUACAGAGGUCAAGGACAUUGUCAAGAGUUGAAAUGGGAGGACUGCUUUGACUUGGAGAUCUACGUAGGUUCUUGGAAUCUCAGAGGUGAACUAGAGUGGAACUCCUGCAUAACUCCACAAAGGUAGUUUUGAGAUUAGAGCAGAUCUUCAGGCACAAUCCAGUCCAAAUACAUAUCCUUAAAGUCAUCUUAGAGUCUCCGAAGUCUUCUGAGAGUGGCCUGGAAACAUGGGAAUGCCCAACAGAGCCAAUCGCUGUAAAAAUAACUUGGCCACUCUUCUGAAUUAACUCAUAUAAAGGGAAAUUUGGUACCUCUUGGUGCACACUGCUUCAGUCUCGUUCCAGACCAGAGCAUGUGUUAGCAGUAUGCAGCGGUGGGUUAACCAGUAGGCAAGGCACGCAUGGGCUUACUUAUGUUUACUUACUAAUCUAUAGUGUACAGUUUCACAGAGAUUUCACCACAUUUGGUGAAACCCAGGUGAAAUUGUGCACUACAGGUUAGUAAGUAAACACAAGUAAGGCCGUGCGUGCCUUGCGUAUUGGGUCAUCCGGCCCUGGCUGUCUGUAGCAAGAGAGGGAUAGAGACCUGGCCCUGGAUGUCCAGCAAAGCAGAGACGGCCUAAGCACGACCCUGUCUGGAGGUGGAGGUUAGAGUAUAAGCAUGGAUGUGAAUUACGACGCUUCUCAGGUUACAGGAAAGAUGUACCAUAGCCAUUCCUGGCCUCAAAAUAUGUGUAUUAAGGGCAAGUGCUACCAUACUAAGGGGGUGGACGGGGUUCUUCUGUCCUGUGCUCUUCAAUGUCAGGCCCUGAGAAGCCAAGGGUGUCAGAGACUUCCUAGCUGAGAAAAACAAAGGUUCAACCUCCCACUUUCUUUGCCCCCAGUGGAGAAAGAAUUUGUACACCUUGAGUUCCCACUUACGUACUUGUGGGACCAGUUGACUUUCAAAUCAUCCAGGUAGUAAGGAACGAUGGAGUAUAGGCGGAUUCCCUCAGCGGUGCUCUGGAUCUUCAGGUCCGUAGCAGACAAAGCUGAAAGGGGACACAGCACAUCCGUGCACCGGUAAGUCCACCGGCAAGAGAAGAACGAAGCAGCAUCCUUGUGGUAGGAACACUGACUUACCGAUUCUUUUGCAUACUUCAGUCAUCAGCUCUUUAAAGGCUGUGGGUAGAGAUUCACAGACAAAGGUUUAGCAUGAAAAUGUUCAAUGUAAGGUCAAAUCUCAAAUUCUUAGUCAGUAUUAUGCUUUCAAAAAUUCCCUGUCUGGUGAAGGGUACUGAUCACAAGGUAAAUUUGUUGACCAAUGAAUAAGUGCUAUUUGAAGGAAUAACUUAAUUUUUUAUCAAAUUUUAAAAGACUCCUGUUUAUUUUGAUAUUUUUCUCCCUCUGAUUCUUUGUAACUGUCACCGUAUAUACAUCCUAGGUAAAGAGCCAGAAUGGGAUUCCCGGGAAAGUUCUUGUCUUUAGGAUUCUCUUUCUUCCUAAAUCCCAAGAAGCCUGGGUUUACAUAGAGGAAGGCUUCUUAUCUGUGUCAUCAAUUCAUAAUGAAUUAGCCGUCGAGUUCCUUGCUCUCCCUCAGUCUAAUAAUGCGUUGCCAAUAAGCACAUUUAGUCACCCGUCCACCAAGGAGCCCCGGUGGUGCAGUGGUUAAAACGAUGGACGGCUAACCAAAAGGUCAGCGGUUUGAAACCACCAGCAGCUCCGUAGGAGAAAGAUGUGGCAGUCUGCUCCUGCAGAGAUUUACAGCCUUGGAAACCCUACGGGGUUGCUAUGAGUUGGAAUCAACGCCUCGGUAAUACGGUGGGUUUUCCACCAAGAGUAGGAAGGCAAAAUCAAAGCCAAACUUCUACUCUUUGUCAGCAAUACCGUUAAAAGAUUUCAUCCAGAAACAAACUGGAAGUUUGAGGGCCACAUGUAGGUUUUCAUUUCCAUGAUAGUUUGUCUUUAGUAGUGGCUGAAAAAUGAAAAUUGCUUUCUUGCUAUGCUAGUAACUGCAAGGCUUUGAGUUUCAUACCUAAAUCUUUCUGACCACUGUUCAACAGUGAACUAUUUUGGUCAUGCUUCCCACAGACUUUUAAUCCUGGAACAUUUCUAUAGUUGAAACAAAAAUGAUGUUUUGAAUUGAAAACAGACCCCAUUGGACCGUGGCCUAUUCCUUCCCUGAGGAUCAAAAGUAGACUUUUGAUUGCUAGGAAGACUAAAACAAGUGAAGUAUUUUUGAAUAAAGCAGUAGUUCACUCUGUCGAAAUUUCAACUAAGACAAAAUCUUCAGGCCAAAAAAGCAUGACAUCAAUCACCAGCCCAGCCUCAAUCCUAACUCUCCUAACCUGCAUACAGAACACACAAAACGGACCUCACAAUUGGUGGACUGACCUUCAUCCACAAGCUUCAAUCUGCUCUUAUCUUUCCCUCGGUCGUCUUUCAGGAUCACCUCAUAAAUCCCAGCAUCUUUCUUCGAAAACUGAGGGGGGAAUAAAGAUUCCACAUUGCAGUUUAUGGUGGGCUCAGGGUAUGGUGUUUGCAUGUCUAUGGCCCUGUGAUUUAUGGAGCUGCCAACCAAACACAUGUUGAAUGAGCAUCUAGCCAUGCAGGCGAUGCUGGCACCCAGUCAAGAUGGCCCAGGUAGCAGUGCUGGUUUUCCUACCUUCUGAGGCUAUCAUUGAUCUGAGGCUCAGAGCCCUUAACUUGUACUCUGCCUUCAUUUAUUAAAAACAGAGGAUCACAUAAUUUUGAAAGCUGUCCUCUUUUAGACAGAAAGUGGAUAAAAAUCUGUACUUUAAUGAAUACUAUGUCUGAUGGUCUCUGGGUCUUUAGGGAACAAAGAAGAAUCCACUUAACUGCCCUGCCCCUCCCCUGUGGAUAAGAAAGCCAGUAAACCAACAAAACCAAACCCAGUGCCUUCGAGUGGGUUCCGACUCAUAGCGUAGGACGGAGUAGCCAGUGGGGGUUGGAGAUCUCACAAAACCACGCAUAUCACAAGGUGAGAAAAGCUCUUAUGUUUCUACAGCUUUUUUUGGUGGUGGGGGAGGGUAAUGUUAGGGGCAAGAAGCUCAGGAACAGAGAGAAGCAAGGAAUUAUAAAUCACCUAGCAAGAAAGGAACAGAAUCUAGUCUACGCUUUUUGGGAGAACAUAGGGUACAGAAGGAAUAGCCUACAUUUCACGUGUAUAUCGCCUACCUCUGUUAUAAGCAGGGUGCAUACACAGGUGUAUCACCUACCUCUGUUAUAAGCAGGGUGCAU